rnacentral:rRNA from 1 species
AACGAACGCUGGCGGCAUGCCUAACACAUGCAAGUCGAACGAGACCUUCGGGUCUAGUGGCGCACGGGUGCGUAACGCGUGGGAACCUGCCCUUAGGUUCGGAAUAACUCCCCGAAAGGGGUGCUAAUACCGGAUAAUGUCUUCGGACCAAAGAUUUAUCGCCUUUGGAUGGGCCCGCGUUGGAUUAGCUAGUUGGUAGGGUAAAAGCCUACCAAGGCGACGAUCCAUAGCUGGUCUGAGAGGAUGAUCAGCCACACUGGGACUGAGACACGGCCCAGACUCCUACGGGAGGCAGCAGUGGGGAAUAUUGGACAAUGGGCGAAAGCCUGAUCCAGCAAUGCCGCGUGAGUGAUGAAGGCCUUAGGGUUGUAAAGCUCUUUUACCCGGGAGGAUAAUGACAGUACCGGGAGAAUAAGCUCGGGCUAACUCCGUG